rnacentral:rRNA from 1 species
GUUGAGAACCACUGCCCUAAAGGCACUGGGUCCCAUCUAAUGCUGGAAGUUAAGCAGGGGCAGACUUAUUUAGUACUUGAAUCGGAGACCACCAAGGAAUAACAAGUGUUGUAAACU